rnacentral:lncRNA from 1 species
CCCACCCCUAGCUACCCCAGACCUUGGCAGGUGACCGUCACAGCAGCACACAGUCUCAGAGUUACCCAAGGUCACGGAGCUGCAAGGGGAGCAGAAUGAGGCCAUUACACCAGCCUCUAAUGUCCCCGCGGCCUCAGCUCGCUAGCUGCCUCGAUCAAGCACCCGGGACACUCCAAUUUCCGCCUGUCCUGAGGUGAUCGUAUCAGGGCCUGAGUGAUCUCCUUGCCGGCGGGCAGUGGAGAUGCUGUGGCAGCAAGCUGGCUGUUCCCCUACUCGGCCACCUUCUGAGUCCACACAUCCUCUCCCUUGGGAACAAAAGGGAGGCACCAGCUGAGACCAUUGGCUGAGAAAUGGCUGGCAGGAUGUCUCCCUGCGCUUCACCCUUGCCCUGUAAGAGUUCAGACUUAGUUCAGCUGCUGGCUGGCCAGGAGCACCAGCCAUUGCCCAUCACUCUGGCUGGCUGGAAGGGCUAGGAUGCUAGGCUCUAGUUGUUCUGCAUGGGAUGGGUGGGUGAGGAGCUACGCUAGCUGGGGGGGCUGGGGGUAAUAGCUACCCUCAGGGAUUCUUAAGGCUCCAGACCUCUGUCACUCAUCAUUUCGGUUUAUAAAAGGCCCGUGGUCCCGGGAUAUUGGCUGAUGCUGAGCCCUGUGCUGACCUUCCCUCCCAUCUGCCAAGGGCAGGAGCUGGAUGAGAUGGCCCAGGGUAAAGAAUGAGUUGGCAAUCCUGGAUUUCUGAUCCUCACCCCUUAGAAGUUUUUGUGCUGGUCCGCAUGUCACACUUGGCCCAUCUGCAAGGGAUGUGGAAGCCAUGAUGCUGGCUCUGGUCUGGGAAACUUUUUAUUAAGAUCUAUCUCAACAAAAAUAGCGAAAAUGCAAAUGUCUCUACAUCCUCAGCAAGAGGGGAAUGUAGUCCCUUAGCUUCUUGGCGCUGAAUUGGAAGUGGCUGUGGUCAUACUCAGGACCACAGCUCUGAAACAGAGUUUAGGUAGACAGUGCUCAGGGGGUGAGGUGCUGGCAUCAGAGGCGAUAGGGGUGGACCCAGAGAGUGUGCUUAUCUGGAGUGUAUGUUUACAAACUCUCAACUGUACAUGGAAAGGGACAACUUCUGCCUGGGACAAUGCCACAGGACUACUUACUUGUGCAAUGGGCACAGAUCAUAAUCAGGUGAUCACUGGCUGAGAUACUGCCAUAAGCCAGAACGGGACCUCAUGCCAGCUGUCCUUCUGUCUCUUUGCCCUUUGCUAGGCCUGCAUUGGCUACUGGUCCUAAAGCCCAGGGUAGGGUCCUUGGGGUAGGGACUCCUUCCAAAGGUUUGGCUGCCAAUGUGCAACAUGGGGUCCUUACUAACUAACCUGGACCACUUCCAGUUUUCUCUGGCUUGGGAAAGCAGCCUGUAGGGGUUGGCUUUCUACUCUAGCUGGAAGGCAGGACUCUGUUAGGCAUGCACUGCCCUCCUCCAUGUCUCCCCGUGAUUUCUACUACACUGUAAAUAAACCAACACCAGGAUUAAACCCAUGGAGGAUGGUGGUGGGGGACACAGAGCUUAGACUGGAAUUGGAACUGCAGAGCCAAUCAGCAUUUAUGUACAUUGUUAUUCUGCUUGCAUAUAUGUCUGUGUGAGGGCAUCAGAUUCUCUGGAACUGGAGUUAAAAAGAGUUGUGAGCUCCCAUGUGGGUGCUAGAAAUUGAACCUGAGUCUUUUGGUUAAGAACAGCCAGUGCGCUUAACUGCUGGGCCAUCUCUCCUGCCCCAGCUUUCUUUCUCGUGAAAUUCAAAGGAGAAGGCUGAUGAAGACCAGCAUCUCCAGGGGCAGGGUCCCAGGGCCUACCACAGCUGUGCUGGAAUCCUUAGGAAAGGGAGGCAGGUAUGUCACCAACAUCCCCGUUCUCUUGCCACUGGAGGCCCGCUGUGGUCACGUGUGAAGUGGAUUGCUUUUGUUUGUUUGUUUGUUUGAGUAGCUCUCCAUUUUUUCAUGGCUCCCUUGCCUUGCUGUGACUCUAAAGUAGACGAAGUCUUCAAGGUGCCAUCCUAUCACUUAAGUUAGAUUGGCUGCCUUUAAUUGCAAUAUCUUCCUCACAGAGCAUGGAGCCCUGGACUCUCCAAGAGAAUGUUCUUGCUGUCCUGAUGAGGAAACCAUGACCCCAUCUCUACAACCAACUCAAUCAGGCUUGGUCAUGUCCUGUUAGAGGCUUUUGACCAUGACACAUAACCCAGCUCACCCAGGUCAGCUGGGUCAGGUAUAGGCACAUUCUGGAUAUAGCGUGGUCCUGGAAUAUUGUGACCUUGUGAUUAUUUGGGGGGCUUUCUGGUUGAGCUGAGGGUCUCACUUCCAGGUGAGUGCUCCCUCAGUGUCUUGAAUGGAAACCAUAGAACAUCCUUGAAGCUCACAAGACUCUGGAGAAAAUCAGUACAGCAUCUUGACUGUAACAGAAAGGAGGAAUUAAAAGGGGGGUUCUCUGGUGAUAAACUCAUAUGGGUCUCAGCAUGCGAAUGCCUGGCCUGCCUCCUACAGGAGCCCAGGACCCUCUGAGUGUGUCCAGGCCAUUGAUUCUCUGCAAUUUCCUAAUGGAUGAGUCUGAAGCUUGCAGGAUAUGUAGUGCUGGAAAGACGCCUCUGUGAUUAAAUGUACUUGCUGCUCUUGUAGAGGCUCUGAAUUCUGUCCCAAGAUCUGACUGGGUGGUGGGUGGUUCAUAACUGCCUAUAAGUUUUGCUCCACGAGGUCAUACUCCCUCUUGUGGUUUCCAAGAAUAGUGCACUCAUGUGCACAUAUUCAUAACACGCACGCACGCACGGGCGCGCGCGCACGCGCACACACACACACACACACACACACACACACACACACACACACACGCUCCCUUAAAAGACAAAACAUAAAUGUUAAAAAAAAAAGAAACCCAGGGUUUUUUGGUGGAAUUCUAGCUCAGAUAGCCAGAGCAUCUCACCCGUCACCUGAAACUUGGGUGGAGCUGGGUGCCACUGUCUACGGGGCUGUCAGUCAUCAGCAAACACAGGCAGAACUGCCUUUUCUGAUUCCCCAAAUGUCCCCCUGGAGUGAAGCCACUUAGGGUAGUACCAUAUGGUAUUUCUUGCUGAUAGGUAAUAACUCACACUCUAGAGAAUACACAGAGCCUCAAGGGAGACCACCUGUUUGAGACCUGGCAGGCCAUACUGUAAAGCUUAUGGCUAGCCAUGUGCGUGGAAGAUGGGGGAAUGGGCAGGGCUGGGAGCAUAUCUGUGGAAGACCCCUGGCUCAGCCAGCCAAGAUGUCCCAGAUCCAAAAGGGUGUACAAUCAAGAGAUGAUAUUUGAGUUAUUUGAAUAUGAUCCUUUAAAAAAGCAAAGUGAAGUUAAAAUGAAUGUAAGGUGGAUGCCUACACAGGUUCUGUGGGCUGGGUAGGGUCUCUCCGAAAUCCCGGUGUGAUGGCUGUUCUUGGUUGUCAACUUGACUACAUUUGGAAUUAGCUAAAUCCCAAGAGGCUGAAUACAUCUGUGAGGGAUAUUUUUUUAAUUAAAUCAUCUGAAGUGGGAAGACACACCUUUAAUUCAGAUCUUUUGAGAUAGGAAGAUCCACCUUUAAUCUGGGCAACCCUUGCUGCUGCAGCCUAUAGAAGGACAUGGAGGAGGAAAGCUUUUGCUCUUUGCCUGCUUACUCUGGUUGGUAAAGCCAUUCCUUCACUGGUAUUAGAGCCUACUUCAGGAUUCAGAUGUAUGCUGAAGACCAGGUGAGACAUCCAGCCUCAGGAACUGAACAACUGCUGGACUCUUGGACUUUCUAUUGGUAGACAGAACAACAGUUCUAUUGUUGAACUAGCUAGUUCAGCAUGACUACAACCUGUAAGUAUCUAAGUAUCUAUCUAUCUAUCUAUCUAUCUAUCUAUCUAUCUAUCUAUCUAUCUAUUUAUCAUCUAUCUAUCUUCUAUUAUCUAUUAUCAUCUAUCUUCUAUAAUCUAUUAUCAUCUAUCUAUCUAUCUAUCUAUCUAUCUAUCUAUCUAUCUAUCUAUCUAUUAUCUAUCUAUCUUCUAUUAUCUAUUAUCCUCUAUCUAUCUUCAUCUAUCUAUCUAUCUAUCUAUCUAUCUAUCUAUCUAUCUAUCUAUCUUCUAUUAUUUAUUAUCAUCUAUCUCUAUCUAUCUAUCUAUCUAUCUUCUAUUAUCUAUCUAUUAUCUAUCAUCAUCUAUCUAUCUUCUACUAUCUAUCUAUCUUCUAUUAUCUAUCUAUUAUCAUCUAUCUAUUAUCUAUCUAUCUAUCUUCUACUAUCUAUCUAUCUAUCUAUCUAUCUAUCUAUCUAUCUAUCUUCUACUAUCUAUUAUCAUCUAUCUAUCUAUCUUCUAUUAUCUAUCUAUUAUCUAUUAUCAUCUAUCUUCUACAUCUAUCUAUCUAUCUAUCUUCUAUUAUCUAUUAUCAUCUAUCUAUCAUCUAUCUAUCUAUCUAUCUAUCUAUCUAUCUAUCUAUCUAUCUACACCCUGUGCCAGGCCUCAUGGUUCCACAGUUUCACAGACCCCCAAGACCCUGGAACAAAAGGCAGAACAGCUUCACAGCCCAUCUCAGCCCUUGCCAGGAUUGGAGGGGUGGCCGCAGCCCAGUCCCCAGCACUUACUUCAACCCCAACAUGGCUCGUUCAGUGACUGACCCUCUCUCUCUCCCCAACAGGGUGACCCUUCCAGUGUCCUUUCCUAGUCACCCAGGGCCACCGACGCUGGCCUAAUCUAUCUGGCUGAAACUGUCUGCCUCAGCUGAGGUUAUUGUGUUUCGCUCUGAGAUGCUUGGAUUUACUGGGUUUAUUGGAUCAUUUUUCACUCUGCAUCUGUGGUAACCAGACUUGGAAAUGAAAAGUCGCAUGGUGCCUAAGCAUGAUGGAAGAGGGUUGGGUGAGCGCAAGAGCCUGCCAUCAUGUUGGGGCUAAGAGAUAGGGGCAGAGGAGAGCCGUGCUGGUGGUCCUGUGGUCAGAACAGCAUGGCAGGAGACCACGACCAACGCCCAGCUGCUAGGAGAAGGAAGGAGCCUGCCUCGCAGAGCUCUCCACACAUCUGAUUGCAUUCCAUACCUCCUGUGUCAUCUAGCUAUAGCAUGCUAUAACUGUAAUAUCUACAAGGCAGAAAAUAAUAGACCUCUUUGUUUUGGGGAUCUUUUAGAACAUAAAAUGGAGAAAUAAGUACGAAAUGGCUGUCUUGAGGGAAGCUUCCUCUGCGGAGCCUUUGGUCACCUCCUCUCUCCCUCCUCCCUCUUCUUCCUCCUUCUUCUCUUCUGAAAUUGGAUUAUUCUGGAGCCUACAAGGCUCUUGUGCAACACAGGAACCCGUCCCAAGAGGGUCCAGGGCCAUCCUAGGCCUUGCUUUCUAAUGGGUGAGUAGUGAGGGCUGGAGGGGAUGUGGGGGACUUGGGUUAGCCUGCGGGGUAUGGGCAACUCAAGAGCAGGAUUGAGACUCACUCAGGUCUGAGCCUAAGUGUGUUUACAAUGCAACAUCUGGUCACCAUACAGACACUUGUGGCACAGGGACCCAGCAGGCAGCAAGAAGUUGGGGCCUAGAACAGAGCUCUGGUGAGAAGAGACAAAAAGAGACAGAAAAAAAAAAUCAAAGAAUUCAGCACUUAAAUGCUACUAAGGACUUUGAGGAAAGAGGUCUGGGGAUCCUGCUGUGGGCAGUUGGUGGCAUUGAGGAGGACAGCAAGGGACCUUUGCUCCAUGUAGAUGGGGACAAACUACUGCAGUUUCUUGAGUUUCCACAUGGGCAGCACCACUCAGCCGGGGCAGAGGUGUGGAGAGGUUCACUUUCAUAUUCUGCAUCCUAAAAGCACACUUAAGUCCUGUUUCGGAUGAGGGAGUUGAUUCUCAGUUUAGUGUAUACAUGCGGGUUAAUGGUUAGUUCAUCCUGAGUUAAUGCUUUCAGUCCACAUACCCUGGAGGAAUAUCAGCACAGGGUUGGCAUCAGCACAGGUCCUUAAUCCUAGCACUGGGAAGGCAGAGGCGAGCCAGCUCUGUAAGUUUGAAGCCAGCCAGGUCUACAUGGGUGAGUUGAAGACCAGCCUGAGCUACGUAGUGGGACUGACCCUGCCUUAAAUUAAACAAUAAGGCAAAGCAACCAACAACCAACCAAGCAGGCAAUAAAAACAACAAAGUAAGCAGCAGCUGUCCCUGAGCCUAGACAACCACAAGAUAAGGAAGGACUGCAGGGGACGAGAGAGGUAAAGCCAUCAGAGGGAGGGCCUUAGAAAUGUGGCUGACCACGGGUCUAGGGUGAGCGCUGAAGUGACAGACUGGUCCCAUAUCCCCUUUGCCUGCUGACUGAAGAUAAGAUGGAAGACAAGUUUUGUUUUUUAAAACUUUUUCUUGAUUAAUUGAUUGUGUGGGGCUGUAUCUGUCGCUGUGUGUCUGUGUAGAGAUCAGAAGUCAACUUGUGGCCGGACGGUGGUGGCACACACCUUUAAUCUCAGCACUUGGGAGGCAGAGGCAGGCGGA